CAGCCGCCGCGGGAAUACGAAGGGCGCGAGCGUUACCCGGAUUUACUGGGCGUAAAGGGCGUGUAGGCGGCCUGGGGCGUCCCAUGUGAAAGGCCACGGCUCAACCGUGGAGGAGCGUGGGAUACGCUCAGGCUAGAGGGUGGGAGAGGGUGGUGGAAUUCCCGGAGUAGCGGUGAAAUGCGCAGAUACCGGGAGGAACGCCGAUGGCGAAGGCAGCCACCUGGUCCACUUCUGACGCUGAGGCGCGAAAGCGUGGGGAGCAAACCGGAUUAGAUACCCGAGUAGUCCCUGUCUCUUAUAC
rnacentral:rRNA from 1 species